CGCGGGGUGGAGCAGCACGGCAGCUCGUCGGGCUCAUAACCCGAAGGUCGCAGGUUCAAAUCCUGUCGCCGCAACCA
rnacentral:tRNA from 1 species